AAAGAGAUAUCAAAAUUAGCAUUGGCACAACGCGCGCGACGGGAAUGAGAACGAAACCUAAAGCAAAGCACUGCUUGGCAAUGGGAUACCAGGACACAACCUCUACACGAAAUACAUGUUGGGGAUACCCGUGAUGAGCACUGUGCCAACAUUGGCAACAACGUCCAUAUUCAUGAGGAUACACAAAGGGCAGACACAACUGCUCAGGCAAGGUAGAAAUCAAGUUAUGCAGAUAAGGGGAAAGGGCUUCUCACCUAUGCUAUUGAAAAGGAUACUUCUUUGGUAGAACCACUUCGAGACAUAAAUGUUGGAGAUGAAAUCCAUGAAGAGCGGAAUGUGAACAUCAUACGUGUGCGUGAGGAACUUCGUACACUAUUUAUAUGGAGACCAUGAAAGUAACAAUCAAACAUCGA